ensembl:snRNA U6 U6 spliceosomal RNA
GUGUCACUUCAGCAGCACACAUGCUAAAAUUAAAAUGAUACAGAGAAAAUUAGCAUAGACCCUGUGCAAAGAUGACAUGUAAAUUAAUGAAACGUUUCAUAUUUUU